UACAGAGGGUGCAAGCGUUAAUCGGAAUUACUGGGCGUAAAGCGUGCGUAGGCGGUUGCGUAAGUCAGAUGUGAAAGCCCCGGGCUCAACCUGGGAAUUGCAUUUGAGACUGCGUAGCUAGGGUGCGGAAGAGGGAAGCGGAAUUUACGGUGUAGCGGUGAAAUGCGUAGAUAUCGGAAGGAACACCAGUGGCGAAGGCGGCUUCCUGGACCAGAACUGACGUUGAGGCACGAAAGCGUGGGGAGCAAACAGG
rnacentral:rRNA from 1 species